rnacentral:rRNA from 1 species
GACGAACGCUGGCGGCGUGCUUAACACAUGCAAGUCGAACGGAAAGGCCCUGCGUUUGUGGGGUGCUCGAGUGGCGAACGGGUGAGUAACACGUGAGUAACCUGCCCUUGACUUUGGGAUAACUUAAGGAAACUGGGGCUAAUACCGGAUAGGCGCUCCUGCUGCAUGGUGGGGGUGGGAAUGUUUCGGCGGUUGGGGAUGGACUCGCGGCUUAUCAGCUUGUUGGUGGGGUAGUGGCUUACCAAGGCGUUGACGGGUAGCCGGCCUGAGAGGGUGACCGGCCACAUUGGGACUGAGAUACGGCCCAGACUCCUACGGGAGGCAGCAGUGGGGAAUAUUGCACAAUGGGCGGAAGCCUGAUGCAGCAACGCCGCGUGCGGGAUGACGGCCUUCGGGUUGUAAACCGCUUUCGCCUGUGACGAAGCGUGAGUAACGGUAGUGGGUAAAGAAGCACCGGCUAACUACGUG